rnacentral:rRNA from 1 species
CACUGCCGAGAAAAGCCUCUAGCUAGAAUAACGGUGCCCGUACCGCAAACCGACACAGGUAGUCAAGAUGAGAAUUCUAAGGUGAGCGAGCGAACUCUCGUUAAGGAACUCGGCAAAAUGACCCCGUAACUUCGGGAGAAGGGGUGCUCUUUGAGGUUCACGCUUCGAAGAGCCGCAGUGAAUAGGCCCAAGCGACUGUUUAUCAAAAACACAGGUCUCUGCUAAACCGUAAGGUGACGUAUAGGGGCUGACGCCUGCCCGGUGCUGGAAGGUUAAGAGGAGUGGUUAGCGCAAGCGAAGCUACGAAUCGAAGCCCCAGUAAACGGCGGCCGUAACUAUAACGGUCCUAAGGUAGCGAAAUUCCUUGUCGGGUAAGUUCCGACCCGCACGAAAGGCGUAACGAUUUGGGCACUGUCUCAACGAGAGACUCGGUGAAAUCAUAGUACCGGUGAAGAUGCCGGUUACCCGCGACAGGACGGAAAGACCCCGUGGAGCUUUACUGUAGCCUGAUAUUGAAAUUCGGUACAGUUUGUACAGGAUAGGUAGGAGCCUUAGAAGCGUGAGCGCUAGCUUACGUGGAGGCAUUGGUGGGAUACUACCCUAAUUGUAUUGGAUUUCUAACCCGCAGCACUUAUCGUGCUGGGAGACAGUGUCAGGCGGGCAGUUUGACUGGGGCGGUCGCCUCCUAAAGAGUAACGGAGGCGCUCAAAGGUUCCCUCAGAAUGGUUGGAAAUCAUUCAUAGAGUGUAAAGGCAUAAGGGAGCUUGACUGCGAGACCUACAAGUCGAGCAGGGUCGAAAGACGGACUUAGUGAUCCGGUGGUUCCGCAUGGAAGGGCCAUCGCUCAACGGAUAAAAGCUACCCCGGGGAUAACAGGCUUAUCUCCCCCAAGAGUUCACAUCGACGGGGAGGUUUGGCACCUCGAUGUCGGCUCAUCGCAUCCUGGGGCUGUAGUCGGUCCCAAGGGUUGGGCUGUUCGCCCAUUAAAGCGGUACGCGAGCUGGGUUCAGAACGUCGUGAGACAGUUCGGUCCCUAUCCGUCGUGGGCGUAGGAAAUUUGAGAGGAGCUGUCCUUAGUACGAGAGGACCGGGAUGGACAUACCUCUGGUGUACCAGUUGUCGUGCCAACGGCAUAGCUGGGUAGCUAUGUAUGGACGGGAUAAGUGCUGAAAGCAUCUAAGCAUGAAGCCCCCCUCGAGAUGAGAUUUCCCAACUUCGGUUAUAAGAUCCCUCAAAGAUGAUGAGGUGAAU